rnacentral:rRNA from 1 species
CCUACGGGAGGCAGCAGUGAGGAAUAUUGGUCAAUGGACGAGAGUCUGAACCAGCCAAGUCGCGUGAAGGAUGACUGCCCUCUGGGUUGUAAACUUCUUUUAUAUGGGAAUAAAAUGUUCCACGUGUGGGAUUUUGUAUGUACCAUAUGAAUACGGAUCGGCUAAAUCCGUGCCAGCAGCCGCGGUAAUACGGAGGAUCCGAGCGUUAUCCGGAUUUAUUGGGUUUUAAGGGAGCGUAGGUGGAUUGUUAAGUCAGUUGUGAAAGGUUGCGGCGCAACCGUAAAAUUGCAGUUGAAACUGGCAGUCUUGAGUACAGUAGAGGUGGGCGGAAUUCGGGGUGUAGCGGUGAAAUGCUUAGAUAUCACGAAGAACGCCGAUUGCGAAGGCAGCUCACUGGACUGCAACUGACACUGAGGCUCGAAAGUGUGGGUAUCAAACAGGAUUAGAUACCCCAGUAGUC